rnacentral:rRNA from 1 species
AUACGUAGGGAGCGAGCGUUGUCCGGAAUUACUGGGCGUAAAGGGCGCGUAGGCGGCGCUUCAAGUCGUCUGUCAAAUGGAAGGGCUUAACCCUUUUUCGCAGGCGAAACUGGAGAGCUUGAGAAGCAGAGAGGCAAACAGAAUUCCUGGUGUAGCGGUGAAAUGCGUAGAUAUCAGGAAGAAUACCAGUGGCGAAGGCGGUUUGCUGGCUGCAUACUGACGCUGAAGCGCGAAAGCCAGGGGGGCGUACGGGAUUAGAUACCCCGGUAGUCCUGGCAGUAAGCGAUGUAUGCUGGGUGUGAGACUAGCGAUAGUUUCGUGCCGAAGUUAACGCGAUAAGCAUACCGCCUGGGGAGUACGGUCGCAAGAUUGAAACUCAAAGGAAUUGGCGGGG